rnacentral:lncRNA from 1 species
ACAAUUUAUUAUUUUCUUUGAUUAAGGAUGUUUUUCGUGGUAUAAAUUUUGUAAUUAUCUGUUCUUGUUUCCUUAAAUGUUCAAUCUGUAGUUGUUUUGUAAUGUGUUGUCGGUUUGGAUUUAGAUAUGAUUAUAUUUGUUGUGCUUUGGGGGGUUUAAGCAUGGAAAAAGUUCUUGUAUUUUGGGGGUUGAUAUUAGUCCGAAGGGUGUUACUUUAAGUUAAUUUAAUGGUCCUCAUUUCCAUUUGUAGGGUAGGGAUUGAGAUGUCUAAGGAAAGGUUUGAGGUAGUGGUCCACCAUGGUAGGACCUUGAUAAAAGAAGAGCACCUUAAAU